UACGUAGGGUGCAAGCGUUAAUCGGAAUUACUGGGCGUAAAGCGUGUGUAGGCGGCUAUGUAAGUCGGAUGUGAAAGCCCUGGGCUCAACCCAGGAAGUGCACUCGAUACUGCGUAGCUUGAGUACCGGAGAGGUUGGUGGAAUUCUCGGUGUAGAGGUGAAAUUCGUAGAUAUCGAGAGGAACACCGGUGGCGAAGGCGGCCAACUGGACGAGUACUGACGCUGAGACACGAAAGCGUGGGGAGCAAACAGG
rnacentral:rRNA from 1 species